UGGUGGCAUGCCUUAUACAUGCAAGUCGAGCGGGAUCCAAGAAGCUUGCUUUUUGGUGAGAGCGGCGAACGGGUGAGUAACAGGUGAGCAAUCUGCCCCUCAGUUGAGGAUAGCCCUCCUAACGGAGGAUUAAUACUGAAUAUGGUAUGGCAUCUUAUGUUGUCUAUACGAAAGGCUUCGGCCGCUGGGGGAUGAGCUCGCUUAAGAUUAGCUAGUUGGUGAGGUAAUGGCUCACCAAGGCCACGAUCUUUAGCCGGCCUGAGAGGGUGAUCGGCCACAUUGGGACUGAGAUACGGCCCAGACUCCUACGGGAGGCAGCAGUAGGGAAUAUUGCACAAUGGAGGCAACUCUGAUGCAGCAAUGCCACGUGUGGGAUGACACUUUUAGGAGCGUAAACCACUGUCAACUGGGAAUAAUGCCAUGGUAGCCCCAUGGUUGAAGGUACCAGUAAAGGAAGCACCGGCUAACUUCGUG
rnacentral:rRNA from 1 species